CAGGGGUGACGACACGUCGUCAUCGCCUGGCCCUGGCCUUUCCGCCACCGGUGUUGUUGCCAUGCGCAUCAUCCAGGCAUGGUAGCCUCAUGCUACUAGUGGCCAUGCUAGGGUUUAGAUUCAUAAGGAACUCGAGGAAAGACAUGCGGACAUAUGUAGACGGGAGGCCGUUAUAAAAAAAAUAACCUGACCGCAACAGCACGCAAAAUCUGUUAGAGUAAUCCAAGCAGGUAUGUGAGAGUUUGGUUAGUGUUCGUGAUCAGCGUUGCCGUGAGUUUAGUUUAGGUAAGUUUGAGUACGAGUAGGAUUGGGAUUGGUGUCUGGAUUCGUCUUGCUAGCCAAGUUGAUGCAUAUAUAUAUGGAGCGUUGCGUGAGUUUUAUACACCACAAAAACGAGAAAAGCAAUAAAGAGAUUAUUACGAGGCACGACACGUGCCUCUGGCCAUCUUCAUGUUGCUCCGUUCGCGUGCGUGUGUUCUGGUCCCGGUGUUUGCCUGAGUGCCGGUGAGAUAUCGAGUGCUGCAGCUAGCUCGUAUACGUUGAGCCGAGUUGCACGUGCACGACUAGUUGAGCUGCAGGGUGAUCGUGUGUUCGAUCCUGAGAGC
rnacentral:lncRNA from 1 species